UAACGAGCGCAACCCUUAUCGUUAGUUGCCAUCUGGUAAUGCAGGGGACUCUAGCGAAACUGCCACCGUAAGGUGAGAGGAAGGUGGGGAUGACGUCAAAUCAGCACGGCCCUUAUGUCCAGGGCUACACACGUGUUACAAUGGUCGGUACAGAGGGCAGCUACCUGGUGACAGGAUGCUAAUCUCGAAAACCGGUCUCAGUUCGGAUCGAAGUCUGCAACUCGACUUCGUGAAGCUGGAUUCGCUAGUAAUCGCAGAUCAGCACGCUGCGGUGAAUAAGUUCUCGGGUUU
rnacentral:rRNA from 1 species